GUCCUCACCGGCCUCCUGUAGUCCAGUAGAUCGACCGUCGCCCAUGACCCGUCGUGCCUCAUUGCCUCACAGGAUCUCGGCCGUCGUUGCUGCCACAACGUCGGCCGUCUUCGAUGCAUCAAUGUCUUCUUCUCCUUUCAACCUUUUAUCUCUUUCCUCCUAAUCUUCACAAAAAUCAGGUGCAUGGGGAGCUAAAUGGAGCUGAAGCAUAGUAACUAGCUAGUCAUUUAACAAAUGGUGCAUAUAUGUUGGCGACUCUUACUCAAGCUCAACUUUGUGAAGAUUUGGAAAUUCCGGCUUAUAUAUAUGUUGAAAAUUUGUAUUUUGGAGGAUUAAAUUAAUUAUAUAACUUUUAUUUAUUAUUAGUAGGGUGUCAUACAAAAAACAAGCAACUAAUAUUUUAUAAUGUACGUAUUUAGCAUUAUAAUUAUUUUAUAUAAAUUUAAUGAUAUUUUGUUUCUUAGUAUAUUUAGAUUUGUACCGACUAUUUAUACAUAUAUUAUAUUACCGUACAAUUCAAAAAAAAAAAAAA